rnacentral:rRNA from 1 species
CCUACGGGUGGCAGCAGUGAGGAAUAUUGGUCAAUGGACGAGAGUCUGAACCAGCCAAGUAGCGUGAAGGAUGACUGCCCUAUGGGUUGUAAACUUCUUUUAUAAAGGAAUAAAACGAGGCACGUGUGCCUUUUUGCAUGUACUUUAUGAAUAAGGAUCGGCUAACUCCGUGCCAGCAGCCGCGGUAAUACGGAGGAUCCGAGCGUUAUCCGGAUUUAUUGGGUUUAAAGGGAGCGUAGAUGGGUUGUUAAGUCAGUUGUGAAAGUUUGCGGCUCAACCGUAAAAUUGCAAUUGAUACUGGCAGUCUUGAGUACAGUUGAGGUAGGCGGAAUUCGUGGUGUAGCGGUGAAAUGCUUAGAUAUCACGAAGAACCCCGAUUGCGAAGGCAGCCUGCCGCAGCGUUACUGACGCUGAAGCUCGAAAGCGCGGGUAUCGAACAGGAUUAGAUACCCCAGUAGUC